CGCGAGCGCAGGUGGGAGGGGAACACUUCGAAGUCCUUUGUGGUUGCGAGUCCUUAUUGCCAGGAAGUAUUUGAUGUUUUCCUGACUGUUGACGGGAAUUGCCGUUGGAAAGUUACGCUAAGUAAAUCCCCGUCGACGCUGACUGGCAGUAUCGAGAGUAAGUAGAAUUGUAGACUUGUUCUGGGAUAGAGCAAGGGAGUUGAUGAUUUGUGGCCAAAUUUCUUUUAUUUAUGUAGGCUGAUUAGUAUAGCAAGUGCGUGUGUCUGUAUGCAUGUGUGUACGUAUAGUGUGUGUUAGUGUGUGCGCAUGUGUGUAUACGUUCUCUUUGGUUUUAAAUCCGGUGUUAAUCAAUACACAAAGAAAAAAUGUUCUUUUUGUUCUCGUGUAUAGAGAGAGAGUGAAUGAGUGAGUGGGUGAGCGAAUGCGUGUGUCGGAAUCAGAGUUCAGCGUACGUAAGAAGAAAAAGGGUAAAGAACUUGCAGGGGCAUAGUUGAAAGUGUAUUAUGUAUUUUUCCGCCGCUCCAAUGCUGGCUUCAUUUUUUAUAAGUAGAGUUGGGGUACUUUUGUUCCGCGUGGCCGGCGCCGUGAGAGGUUUAAAACAUUAUCGCAGUUCGAGCGCUUGUUGCCCGCGCGCCGUUGUUUCAGGCAGCGUUGUUCUUAACGAUUAUUGAAGAGAGGAGAGAAAGGGGGAAUAGAGUGGCGAGGAAGAUGAAAGGAGAGCAUGCAUGCCGUCGUCGCACCAAUAAAAUCGCAUUAAAUUCUUCAAGGGAAAAUCAAAUCUUCUUGGAGGUCAAAAGUUGAAAAUUUGAAGAGUUUGUCCUGUC